rnacentral:rRNA from 1 species
GUUAACAAAAACAUGUCUUUUUGAUUAUAAUUUAAAGUCUAACCUGCCCAAUGAAAAUUUAUUAAAUGGCCGCGGUAUACUGACUGUGCAAAGGUAGCAUAAUCAUUAGUUUUUUAAUUAAAAGCUGGAAUGAAAGGUUGAAUGAAAAAAUAACUGUCUCUAUUUAAAUUUAUUAGAAUUUUAUUUUUAAGUUAAAAAGCUUAAAUGUAUAUAAAAGACGAGAAGACCCUAUAGAGUUUGAUAUUUUUUUUUAUUAAGAUAUUUAGAAUUUUAUUUUUUAGUUAAAAAAAAGUAUUUAAUUGGGGUGAUUAAAAAAUUUAUUAAACUUUUUUUUUAUUUUUACAUUAAUUUAUGAUUUUUUGAUCCUUUUUUAAAGAUUAUAAGAUUAAAUUACCUUAGGGAUAACAGCGUAAUUUUUUUUAAGAGUUCUAAUCGAAAAAAAAGAUUGCGACCUCGAUGUUGGAUUAA